CAGUAGCCGCGGGAAUACAGAGGGUGCAAGCGUUAAUCGGAAUUACUGGGCGUAAAGGGCGCGUAGGUGGUUGUGUAAGUGAGAUGUGAAAUCCCCGGGCUCAACCUGGGAACUGCGUCUUAUACUGCAUAGCUUGAGUACAAUAGAGGGUAGUGGAAUUUCCGGUGUAGCGGUGAAAUGCGUAGAUAUCGGAAGGAACACCAGCGGCGAAGGCGGCUACCUGGAUUGAUACUGACACUGAGGCGCGAGAGCGUGGGGAGCAAACAGGAUUAGAUACCCCCGUAGUCCCUGUCUCUUAUAC
rnacentral:rRNA from 1 species